AUAUUAAAAUAAUAUAAUAUUAUUAAUAUAAAUUAUGCAUACAAAUUAUAAAGUAAUCUAAACUAUUAAAACUGAAGUACAUUUUGUACUUAACCCUAAAUUUUCCCUAAUAUUUACAAUCCUCUGCCACUGACCUAGUACAAUGUCGUUUUAAUUAUACCAGUUUCCUAAACAUAUUUCUUAUUCUCCUGUCAUUGUCUUCCUAAUGUUAAACCAAAAAGCCACGAACAACGAGAAGAUGACCAACCAUACGGAGAUCUAUGAUUCAUGUAUUUUUCUCAAUCGCAUUAGCUGCCAGUUCUACAGUCUCGAUGCAGUCGAGUUGUUGUCGAUGCUAAUUGAGGUUGAUCUUACGGAAUCAAAAAACGCUCGACGUCCGAAUCUUCUAUUAGGUUCUAGGAUUCUAGCUGAGAAAGAUUCUUGAGCGUUGCGAGGCUUGCAUCGUCAAUGCCUCUUUGGAGGUCUAUGGAUCAGAAUGUAUAAGCGGGUGGGUUUCAAAACUACUUCUUUCUUGCUCUGGAAAAACGUGCUAAUUCAGUUUUUGCUGUAGUUACUACUCAAAAUCUUAACAAAUCUGUUUUCAUCAGGUUACAAACUUGUACGUUGGGAAAGACCAUGUUAAGGAGUUCUGUUGAGUAAGAAAAUCCUUGUUGGUUUGACAACAUGUGAGCAUAUGGAGAACAAUUAUAAGAAACUAGGAAUAUAUGUCUCGUUCUUAUGAGUUAAUUGGGUUGUUGUUGUGGUCGUAUAUUAUGGACUUUUAACUUCAUUUUCCCCUACUGAAAAAAAAUAAUUCACUUUUCCCCCUCUCUAUUCUCACUACUCUUUUAUGAUUAUGCUUUCAUAUAUAACCCUCUAUUAAUUUAUUAUAUCUCAUUCCAACUCAUAAAUACAUUAAUUUCUCCAAUUAAAUUAACCAACUCAUCUACCAUCAUAGGCCACAUAUUAACCUUAACCAAUCAGAUUCUGGCUGACCCACACCUCUCU
rnacentral:lncRNA from 1 species